CGCUUAUGGGAUGCGGCGGACGAUGCCGAGCAUGACGGCGGCGGCCUCGUCACCAUCUUCCUCGUCGUCGUCGCAUUUGACGGGUGCCGAGCAGAGCGGUUUGGGAGGGAGGGGGAGGCGGCCAGCAAGCCCGUCCGAGUUUGCCCGCUUCUGCCCCGCUCCGCCGCACUUGCCCAUCGCCCCUCCACCCACCGCUGCUCCGCCUGCCAUUCUCGCCUGCCGCGCCUGCGCCCAUCUCUCCCCCUCUCGCUGGUUCAAGCUCAAUUUCGACGGCUCCGUGUACCACGACGGAUCGGGCAGUGCGAGCAUCGGCGGCGCCAUCCGCGGACCCGCGUCGGUCGCCUUCGCCGAGACGACCGACCACUGGAGCAUCGGCGUACGUGGUGGAGGCCCGCGCGGCGCGCUCAUCCGCGGCCUACGUCUCGUCUCGCUCUCGCCUGUUUCAUGGAGAGGCUGGUGGUUGAGGGCGACGACCGUCCAGCUGCUGCGUGGCGACUGGCGCGGAGACACAGACGCGGAUCCCGGCCGCCCUGCACGACGAGAUCGUCACCUUGCUCGGCUGCUUCGCCGAGGUUGGCGUGCAGCAUGUCUACCGGGAGAGCAACCACAGGUCGCCGAUGACGCGUACCGGUAUCCCGGAGUCUGGACGCCGUCGUCCCCCGUCGCCGAGAAGGCCGACAAUGACCGCUGCGGCGUCGCGCACGACGCGCAUGCGUUACAGCGACAAUCAAGAAGGCUUCUUGGAGAUGGCCCGCAGCUGCGGGUGUUCGAGGAGAUGCACGCACAAACGCCGAGCAGUGGCUGUGCGGCCGCUGGUGCAAAGAACGUGGAGACAGAGAUCGUCGCCAUGGCCAAAGUCGGUGCAUGGGCACGCGGCAGGAUCGAUCAACUCGACCGACAUGGCGAACUCAAGUCUUUCGCUUCUGUUUGUAUAAGUGUAGUUGUCUCCCGCUGUAAACAUGUAUAA
rnacentral:lncRNA from 1 species